UAAAGAAAAUAAUCUAUACAGCAUGGGC
rnacentral:piRNA from 1 species